UACGUAGGGCGCAAGCGUUGUCCGGAAUUAUUGGGCGUAAAGAGCUCGUAGGCGGCUUGUCACGUCGGGUGUGAAAGCCCGGGGCUUAACCCCGGGUCUGCAUUCGAUACGGGCAGGCUAGAGUGUGGUAGGGGAGAUCGGAAUUCCUGGUGUAGCGGUGAAAUGCGCAGAUAUCAGGAGGAACACCGGUGGCGAAGGCGGUUCUCUGGGCAUUACCUGACGCUGAGGAGCGAAAGCAUGGGGAGCGAACAGG
rnacentral:rRNA from 1 species